rnacentral:misc_RNA from 1 species
GAUGAAGAACGCAGCGAAAUGCGAUAAGUAGUGUGAAUUGCAGAAUUCAGUGAAUCAUCGAAUCUUUGAACGCACAUUGCGCCCUUUGGUAUUCCUUAGGGCAUGCCUGUUCGAGCGUCAUUUGAAACCUCAAGCUCAGCUUGGUGUUGGGUGUCUGUCCCCGCCUCACCGCGGGGACUCGCCUCAAAAUCAUUGGCGGCCGGUACGUUGGCUUCGAGCGCAGCAGAAACGCGAACUCGAGGCCCGGCGGAUCGGGGACCAGAAGUCACUUCUUCACAGUUUGACCUCGGAUCAGGUAGGGAUACCCGCUGAACUUAAGCAUAUCAAUAAGCGGAGGA